rnacentral:misc_RNA from 1 species
UUUCCGUAGGUGAACCUGCGGAAGGAUCAUUCAUAAUAAGUGUUUUAUGGCACUUUUUUAAAUCCAUAUCCACCUUGUGUGCAAUGUCAGGGUUGAUUUUUCUCUCGAGAGGAUCAACCCCAAACAUCAACUAUAUCUCAACUCUUUGUCUAAAAAAUAUUAUGAAUAAAACAAUUCAAAAUACAACUUUCAACAACGGAUCUCUUGGCUCUC